UACGUAGGGUGCGAGCGUUAAUCGGAAUUACUGGGCGUAAAGCGUGCGCAGGCGGUUUUGUAAGCCAGAUGUGAAAUCCCCGGGCUUAACCUGGGAAUGGCAUUUGGGACUGCAAGGCUGGAGCGCGGCAGAGGAGACUGGAAUUCCUGGUGUAGCAGUGAAAUGCGUAGAUAUCAGGAGGAAUACCGAUGGCGAAGGCAGGUCUCUGGGCCGAUACUGACGCUGAGGAGCGAAAGCGUGGGGAGCGAACAGG
rnacentral:rRNA from 1 species